rnacentral:rRNA from 1 species
UACGUAGGGGGCAAGCGUUGUCCGGAAUCAUUGGGCGUAAAGCGCGUGUAGGCGGUUCGGUAAGUCUGCUGUGAAAGUCCAGGGCUCAACCCUGGGAUGCCGGUGGAUACUGUCGGACUAGAGUACGGAAGAGGCGAGUGGAAUUCCCGGUGUAGCGGUGAAAUGCGUAGAUAUUGGGAGGAACACCAGUGGCGAAGGCGGCUCACUGGACCGGUUCUGACGCUGAGGCGCGAAAGCGUGGGGAGCAAACGGG